UCUAAAGGAAAGGGGAAAAAACGAGAAAAGAGACGAAAUUUCAGUUUCUCCUUUUAACGCCGAGCUGUAAAGAGCGGUGAAGACACCGGAGCGAAGAAAUGUAUCUAAAAGCUCCGUUUUGGAGCAAAGAUUCGAACUCUGAAUCUCAGACGGAAUCUCCGUCGGCGGUGGCGGAGCUAAUAAGCUCUCUUGAACGACAGAGACUAUACAGGGAGGUGACACUCGCACUCCGCACAGGACUCAAUGAUGCACGUGCUGAGUUCUCCUUCCUCCGUAUUCGCGGCCUCCGCGUCAUCCUCAAGUUCCUCCGAUCCGUUGCCGAGUCAGAUACUACCAUCAACAUCUUCUGUCACAGCCAAUCCAUUCCCGAUCUUCAAGUGGUUCCAGUUCUUUUCAGACAUUCCUUGAGAGAUACAGAGGACCAGAAUGUUACCAGUCUAGACCACAUAUUUACUGUGGAACCUAUGGAAAUAACCAGCCCGUCAACUGAUUCUGAAGUUUCUCUAGCGCUUAGAGUUCUGGAAGGUUGUUGUCUGAUUCAUUGCGAGAGUAAUGUUUUGGCCCAUCAGUACAAGGCAAUCCCGGUGUUGAUGAACAUACUGUCGACUCGAGGGGUACUGGGACAAGGAGCAUGCUUGGAUGCUUUUAUUGCUAUCAUGCUGGAUUCAUCUGCCAAUCAGGCGGAUUUUGAGGCUUGCAAUGGCAUUGAGGAAGUUGCCAUACUCAUUAGAGACAAACAAGUAGAUGAAAAAUUGAGAUCAUACUGCAUGCUAGUUCUAGUGUUUCCACCCUUUCCUUUUUUCCUCGUGGAAGUUGGAACUGGUACUCCCUCCGCUGUCUCUCGGGUGGCUUAGAAAAUAUUUUGGUGGUGUAUGGCUGAUACCUAGGGGAGUGUGAUAGUGUCAUUUCAAUCUAGGAAAAGAAAAAGGCUCAAGUGUGGAGAGUUUCUACUGCUUCUCAUUGGACAUGUAAAUGGGAGGGAGAGGUCUCCCAUGGCAACAAUUCAUGAAGACCUAAGGCGAUUUCUAGGUGAGAAAUCUGCAUCAUUGAUAUGGGCAGCUAGUCAAUUUGGUUCAACCCUUGAUCCAGAACAGAGAUUGACAGCUUUGCAAAUUCAAGCCCGUAGAGUAAUGGAGUCAAUAGAUCUUUAUUGACCGUAAAGUUUCAGCAAUUUUUGUCUUUGUGUGAUGUCCAGAAGCCUCAGAGAGGUGGUAAUUUCACUUGGAGGCAUAUCCUUGCAACAAGGAUCGACCACUAGGCUAUCCAGAAGCUACAAUAGGAAGAUAAGUUAAUUCUGGUGACAUUACAAUACCACAAUGUGAAUAAUUGUGAAUUGUUUGUUCUAUACAAAAGUACAAUGCUCUCUAGUUUUCUGCUCUUAUUUGUGAUGUCAAUAUAUUUAACAUUUCAUAAAUCUCAUCUGUUUUUUGAUGGGAUGUAUCACAAGCUACAAA